rnacentral:lncRNA from 1 species
UAUGCCAUUAUACUUUAUAUAUAUAAUAAAUAAAAAUUUAAAUAAAUAAAAAUCAAAAAAAUAAAAAAUAAUUUUUAAAUUUUUUUUCGAAUUAUACUAUUUCGAAAUUCAAACCCUGAACCCUACAACUCAACUCUAAACCCUAAACCACCUAUCAUAAACUCUAUUUUUUUGAAAUACAAACCCUAAACCAACUCUAAACCCUAAACCCUAAACCUUCAACUCUAAACCCUAAAACAUCAACUAUAAACCCUAACCUUCAACUCUAAACCUUAAACCAUCAACACUCUAAAAUAUCAACACUAAACCCUAAACCUUAAAAAGUAAACUCUAAACCCUAAACUCUAAAAAAUUAACCCUAAACCCCGAAACAUCAACUCUAAACCCUAAACCCUAAAAUGUAAACUCUAAACCCUAAACCCUUAAAAAUUAACCCUAAACCCUGAAACAUCAACUCUAAACCAUAAACCUUCAACUAUAAACCUUAAAACAUCAACUAUAAACCCUAAACCCUAAACUUCAACUCUAAACCCUAAACUAUCAACUCUAAACCCUAAACCCUAAAAAGUAAACUUUAAACCCUAAAAAAUUAACCCUAAACCCUGAAACAUCAACUCUAAACCCUAAACCUUCAACUCUAAACCAUAAACCUUAAAUCCUAAACCCUAAAACCCUAGAGGUGAUGUUUUAGGGUUUAGAGUUGAAGGUUUAGGGUUUCAGGGUUUAGGGUUUACAUUUAGGGAUUAGAGUUGAUGUUUUAGGGUUUAGAUUUGAAGGUUUAUGGUUUUAGGGUUUAGGGUUUGAAUUUCAGAAAAAUAUCGGGUUUAAGGUUAAGGGUUUAUGUUUAAGGUUUAUGUUUAGGGCUUAGAGUUGAUGUUUUAGGGUUUAGAUUUGAUGGUUUAGAGUUUAGGGUUUAGAGUUGAUGUUUUGGGGUUUAGGGUUUAGAGUUGAUGUUUCAUGAUUUAGGGUGUAGAGUUGAUAAUUUUGGUUUUAAAGUUGAUGUUUUAAGUUUAGGGUUUACGGGUUUAGAGUUGAUGUUUUAGGGUUUAGAUUUGAAGAUUUAGGGUUUAGAGUUUAGAAUUGAUGUUUCGGAGUUUAGGGUUUAGAGUUGAUAUUUCAUGGCUUAGGAUUUAGAGAUUAGAGUUGAUGUUUCAUGGUUUAGAUUAGUUAACCAUAUGUUUUUUUUGUCAAAGUUAAUCAAAAAGGUUAUAAUUGUCUUUUAUCCUUCAUUAAAAUUGAAGGUAAAAAUGAUUAGUGUAAACAUGAAAAGUGGUACUUUGAAAAUGAUAUUUUUGGCAAUUUCCCUAUAUAUUAAGACAAAUAAUUUAACUACAAUUUGGUCGAUAGUGAAAGAAGCAUUAAAAAAAAGAAUAUUUUAACUUCCAAAAAAUUAGAUAUUUCAGUUGUGGUAAAUACUCAAUUAUAAGGUGCUCACGUCAAUUUGCAUCUGUAUGUGUAUGUAAAACUAUAUAAAGAUGGUUGAUAAAUAUAUGAGAAAAUUACAUGUUUACCACUUUCAUGCUACUACUUUUCAUUUUUACCAUUAAAUGAACAUUUUCAAAAAUAUCUUCUUCAUUAAGUGGCAAAAGACUUUUAUGUCUCUUGUUCUUUAUAUAUAUAAUAAAUAAAUAUUCAAAUAAAUAAAAAUAUAAAAAAAUAAAAAAUAUUUUUUUAAAAUUUUUUUUAGAAUUAUACUAUUUCGAAAUUCAAACCUUAAACCCUAAACCAUCAAUCAUAAACUUUUUUUUUUUGAAAUAUGAACCCUAAACCCUCAACCAUCAAUCCUAAACACUUUUUUUUUUAAAUACGAACCCUAAACCCAGAAACAUCAACUCUAAACCCUAAACCACGAAACAUCAAGUCUAAACCCUAAACCUUCAACUCUAAACCCUAAAAUAUCAACUCUAAACCCUAAACCCUAAAAUUCAACUCUAAACCCUAAAACAUCAACUCUAAACCCUAAACCAUCAACACA